rnacentral:lncRNA from 10 species
ACAUCCCAUAAUCCUGCCACCACCCUUCUGAAACAUUUUCAUUUCCCUUAUUUUACUGGAUCUUUGAAACACGUGGAGCUGGCCGGCCACUGCAGGCACCAAAGCCCAGAAUGAGAAAAAGUUUCGGGGCCAACUCAUCCGGGGCCAGGGCAGGCCUCAGGCUUCCUGACCUUAUCUGGAGUCUUCCGGUUCAGCAGCGGCCAGGCCCGUCCACAGCUGUGAUCUCCAUAAAAGGGGACUGUGGGUAGGCCCGGGAGGAAGUUCCAGGAAGGAGCACUGCGAGAGGUGAUUAGGAGCUUGGAAAGGAAGCCUAGGAAGAGAGGGGAACUAUGAGCGCCUGCUGAAGGAGAACCUCGGUCCCUAAGCAGAAAUCCCCUUGCCUGGGAGGCCCGACCAGGCCCGCUUGUCUGAGGGCUCCUGUUCAGCAAUCAUCAUCCACCAGUGCCUAUCACCUGGCACACGACAGCCUGGCCGCUGCUGGAAUGAAGACAGAGAGGCCUCCAGCACUCAUGGGCAGAGGGGAGACAGGCACGCAGCUGCACCACAACGCUUGCCGCCGAGGCUGUGUUCACUGGAGCUGGGAGAGGUCGGGAGGAAUUGUCAGAGCAGAGGCGGCAAUGCGGCCGAGACUCCACGUGCGAAGGGCACCCAGCGCACAGUUUCCGCCUGGGGAACGGUGACUUCUGGAUGCCUGCAGAAUCUCCGAGAAGAGACGUUUGCCAGGCAGCUUGAAAUAAAGGUUUGGAGUUCAAGAGGGAGUUCUGCGAUGGAGAAAUGCUUCGGGAAAGAGCUUCAGGAGGCAGCCGUCCGGGAGGCAGGUGGGAGUGGCAGUUUACGGAGCAGGGCGGGUUAUGAGCCCGGUCGGAAGGCGGGCAGAACACGCUCCACUCUCCUAGCGCCAGGCCUGGACGCCCACCCCAGGUGGGCCGCCAGAUCCCGGAGAGGGGCAGAGCUGACUGUGCCUACACUGCACGGGAAUGCUGAGCCCCGUCCUUAACCUUCCUUCCACGUGACUGGACCCCAUUUGGAAUCCACUUUUGCUUCCUACCCCCUUUAAUCCACUCCGCCAGAGGAAAGGAGUGUAUUCGGUAACUACGUUGGGGAAGAAGGAACUGGGCGUAUUGGAGUCAGCCCCCCUUGGGAGGCGCCCCCGUCUCCUCCGGGCCACCCAACCUCGGCAGGAGGGGAGGCCUGCCCAGCCCGACAUUGCUGGUGACUCACCCUAAGCCACAGCCUCACUGGGCCUUUCUCAGUGGGAAAAGCGACAUUCAUGGAGGUCCAUCCAAUGGCACCCUGUCCUAAUUUACAAUUCGUUUUGUUUUUUAAGAGACGGGGUUCUCAUUAUGUUGCCCAGGCUGGUCUCGAAUCCCUAGGCUUAAGGGCUCCUCUGGCUCCGAAAGUUUUAGGAUUCCCGGCGUGAACCACCGCGCGGCCACGAUUUGUUCGAAGCUGGGCAAGGCCGGUGGCGCUAGUAUCCGACCACCCUUACCUGAGAGGCCGCUGGGGCGCAGAGGAGCCCACGAUUAAGGGCGCGCGGGAUGUGAAAACGCCCCUCGCGCUAACACACACGCCUGCACCCAGAACCGGGCUGUGGGUUACAGGGGAGGCAGCACCUGAGCGCCAGCACUGGCGUGGUGGGCAAGGGAAAAGGGGGCUUUGCUUCUCAAGGGUAGCCGAGGAAGCGGCAUGCGGAAGGCCGGGCUUGGAGUGGGGACCCCGAGCGUUUACCGAGAACGCUCAGGGGGCCGCGCGGCUCCGGCCCCUUCUGAGCUCCCUUCCCAGCCCCUGCGCUAGAAGCUGAGGCUCAGAAAGGUAACAGCGAGCCUCCGAGGACAGGCACAGGAAGCCAGACGAAACCCCAGGACAGCACCGUCCUCCUCUGUCCCUUGAGCAGACCCUCGGCACAGGACGACGGUCAGCUAUGCACAGUGACAUCCUCCCGGUGACUUGUGGGAAAAUCGGUAUGUAAAAUAGGAUGCGUUCCCUUAACAUUUGGCUCAUGCCCGUAAUCCCAGCACUUUGGGAGGCCGAGGCGGGCGGAUCACCCGAGGUCAGGAGUUCGAGACCAGCCUGGCCAGCAUGGUGAAACCCCCGACCUCUACUAAAAAUACAAAAAAUUAGCUGGGCGUGGUGGCAGGCACCUGUAAUCCCAGCUACUCAGGAGGCUGAGGCAGGAGAAUCGCUUGAACCCAGGAGGCUGAGGUUGCAGGGACCGAAAUCGUGCAGCCUGGGCGACAGACUGAGACUGAGACUCCGUCUCAAAAAACAAAACAAAAAAAAAAAAAAGAAAGAAAAGAAAAGAAAAGAAAAACCCCAUGCUUGUUAGUCUCUUACCACAAGAAACACUCGUCCUCCUGCGUCACCCUCCAUCGGGGUAGCCUCGCUAAAGGCGGCGAGCGGAAGCCAGGGCGUCUCGCCUAGGCUGGAACCGUGCUCCACGUGGGAUGCCCGCCCGCCCGUGCAGCCGCUGGGCCUCUGCCUCCUCCAAACUGUAACAGUCCUAAGAGCUUUUUCCUGAUUACAGAAAUAAUGCGAAACUUGCUUUAGAAAACUGGAAAAGUAUACAGUAAAUAAGGAUAUUUAUAAUUCCACCUUCCUGAGAUAAUGAAUAUUAACAUUUUGGAGCAUUUUCUUCUAUAUUUGCAUUCACAUUUUUAAAAAUAAAAUAUUAAUACAAACCUAGAGGCAUAUAUAUCCCUUUCAUCCACUUCAGGCCAUCAAUACAAAUAACUUCUGCCCAAGGAACAAAGAGGCCUCAGGGUUCCCCUGCUGCCACUUCCUCUCUGUCCCUUAUGUGCAGGUGGAACAGUCCUGCCUCUGACACAGAGCCAGGGUCCUGGGCAGCUCAUUCAUCCCCCACACCCCAGAGGGAUGCCUGCAGCCACGGUCAGCCCAUGGGACUCCCUCCACCCUCGCG